UCUAAGAGUGGCAGAAGACAUUGCAAUGAACUUAAAAUUCAAAAAUAAAUUAUACAAUUUCCUUAGAA
rnacentral:tRNA from 1 species